rnacentral:lncRNA from 1 species
AAAGUUUCCUUGUUUUGUCUUAAACCUUUCCUAAUCCUAAAUCACCUAUGUUCCAGCUGCAAAGGGGUGUUCUAAAUACUUUAGGACACUUAAUUACAUGUUUUUAGAAGGACAAUCCCUGCCACAAAGGAUGCAUCAACUUACCUUUCCCUUGCCUUGCCGUGCACAUUAUCCUUGUCCCCUUCAUUAUCUCAUUGUUGCGCCAUUCCACCACCUUUCCACUUUCCUUCCCUUUUCCUUGUCACACAACCAACCUUUCACACUUUCCUUUGCCAUGCACUCCACCC